ensembl:lncRNA
UUCUGCCCUAGUUGUUUUUUACUGGAUCUUAAAAGUCACCACUUUUUAGGAUUUAAGUUGGAUAAACUUUCAAAGUAUUUCAAAGUCGAUUUUUCUUCUUUCAAAAAAAUGAUUUUUUUGCAUCUACAGGUAAAAAUGAAAGAAUGAGAUGAUGGAAAUUUUGCAUCUUAUACUUACGCAUUUACUAAAGUGAAGACCAAAUCUCAUAAAGCUUCACCAAACAAGAAAAGAUAAAAUAUACAGAUAUCCUACUUUUGUCACUCAAGAAGUGAAGACUUAUCAUUUUAUGUUUAUUUUCCUUUCGGAGAACUACAGUCCAUCUGGAAUUGAUUUUUGUGUAUUGUUGAGAGGGACAGUUUUCAACAUUUCACCAUAAAGUAUGAUACUUGCUAUAGUGAGUCUCACCAGGAAAAUGUCGAUUUUAUUAGUCUUUUCAAUGAACCAAUUUCUGGCUUUUUUGAUCCUUUCUACUGUGCUUUUUGUUCUAUUUCACUAAUUUCUUCUCUUUUUUCCUAUUCUUUUUCAGAAUAAUUUGCUGUUAUUUUGCCUAAAUUCUUGAGAAUGGGAGUUUAAAUCAUAUUUUCAGUCUUCUUUUCUAAUAUAUGUGUUUUGAGCAGAUAAUACAUUUUCCACUAAGGCAAGGUAUUUAGGUACAUCUCACAAGUUUUAAUAUGUCAUAUUUUCAUUAAUGACUGGUUAAAAAUAUUUUCUAAUUUCCAUUGUGAUUCCUCUUUGACCCAUGGGUUAUUUUAAAAUUGUAUUUCUUAGUUACCAAACAUCUAGGGAUUUUUUAUUAUACCCAUUCCUGUGCAUGUGUAGUGGCUUUAAUUCACAUUUCCCUAAUUAGUAAUGAUGUCAGGCAUCUUUUGAUCUAUUUAUUAGCCAUUCAUAUUUCUUUGGAGAAAUGUCUGUUCAAAUAUUUUGCCCACUUUUUUAAUGGGGUUAUUUUUUUAAUUUAUUGAGUUGUAAGAUUUCUUUAUAUAUUCUACAUACAAGUCCCUUAUCAAAUAUAUAAUUUGCAAAUAUUUUGAUUGUCUUUUUACUUUCUUUUUCUUUUGUUUCCCCCUUUAAAUUAAUUCAUUGGUGUUCUAUUGCCAGUUUGCUGAACAAGGGUUCUGGCGACAUCUAUGAUAUGCUAUGAAAUUCUUAUAUGAAGAGGCAAUUUGGAGGCUAAAAGCACUGGUCUAGCUGCUUAGCUUCCAACACUUCCAGAAAAUUCCUUUAUGCUAUAUUUAUAUAAACUUUUGUAUCCAGGAACUAAAGGAGCAAAGUAAAGAAACAUAUUUCUUAUAUUGCUAAUUAUGUCAUACUUUAUAUGCAUUCAUACAGAUCUCCUUUAAGAUAUCUGCUACAAUGAUUUCUGUAGUAUAUGGUACAAAGAAUAAAACGUAUUUUAAAAGAAGCCCAAGGUUGUAACAUUGAUCACUCUUUUUACUUUCUUUUUUUUUUUUUUAAGAUUGGUGCCUGAGAUAACAGCUGUUGCCAAUCUUCCUUUUUUUUUUUCCUCCCCAAAUCCCCCAGUACAUAGUUGUAUAUUUUAGUUGUGGGUCCUUCUAGUUGUGGCAUGUGGGACACCGCCUCAACAUGGCCUAAUGAGCAGCGCCAUGUCCGCACCCAGGAACUGAACCCUGGGCCGCCAAAGCGGAGCACAUGAACUUAACCAUUUGGC